rnacentral:rRNA from 1 species
GACGAACGCUGGCGGCGUGCUUAACACAUGCAAGUCGAACGGAAAGGCCCAGCUUGCUGGGUGCUCGAGUGGCGAACGGGUGAGUAACACGUGGGUGAUCUGCCCCUAACUUCGGGAUAAGCUUGGGAAACUGGGUCUAAUACCGGAUAGGACAAUCGUUUAGUGUCGGUUGUGGAAAGUUUUUUCGGUUAGGGAUGAGCCCGCGGCCUAUCAGCUUGUUGGUGGGGUAAUGGCCUACCAAGGCGUCGACGGGUAGCCGGCCUGAGAGGGUGGACGGCCACAUUGGGACUGGGAUACGGCCCAGACUCCUACGGGAGGCAGCAGUGGGGAAUAUUGCACAAUGGGCGCAAGCCUGAUGCAGCGACGCCGCGUGGGGGAUGACGGCCUUCGGGUUGUAAACCUCUUUCGACAGGGACGAAGCUUUGGUGACGGUACCUGUAGAAGAAGCACCGGCUAACUACGUG